rnacentral:rRNA from 1 species
UACGUAGGGUGCAAGCGUUGUCCGGAAUUAUUGGGCGUAAAGAGCUCGUAGGCGGUUUGUCACGUCGGCUGUGAAACCCUGGGGCUCAACCCCGGGCCUGCAGCCGAUACGGGCUGACUAGAAUUCGGUAGGGGAGUCGUGGAAUUCCUGGUGUAGCGGUGAAAUGCGCAGAUAUCAGGAGGAACACCUGUGGUGUAGACAGCUUACUGGACCACUUCUGACGCUGAGACACGAAAGCGUGGGUAGCAAACAGG